rnacentral:misc_RNA from 1 species
GAUGAAGAACUUAGUGAAAUGCGAUAAGUAAUGUGAAUUGCAGAAUUCAGUGAAUCAUCGAAUCUUUGAACGCACAUUGCGCCCAUUAGUAUUCUAGUGGGCAUGCCUGUUCGAGCGUCAUUAAGUCCACUUAAGCCCUGCUUAGUGUUGGGAGACUGCUCCAGCGGUGCUACCCUGUAGCUACCCUGCAGCUCCUCAAAGACAGCGGCGGAGUUGUGGUAUCCUCUGAGCUUAGUAACUUGUUCUAGCUUUCGAGUACACCACUUCCCCUGCCGUAAAACCCUUAAUUUUUAAUGGUUGACCUCGGAUCAGGUAGGAAUACCCGCUGAACUUAAGCAUAUCAAUAAGCGGAGGA